UGGGGAAUUUUGGACAAUGGGCGAAAGCCUGACCCAGCAACGCCGCGUGAAGGAUGAAGUAUUUCGGUAUGUAAACUUCGAAAGAAUAGGAAGAAUAAAUGACGGUACUAUUUAUAAGGUCCGGCUAACUACGUGCCAGCAGCCGCGGUAAUACGUAGGGACCAAGCGUUGUUCGGAUUUACUGGGCGUAAAGGGCGCGUAGGCGGCAAUUCAAGUCAUCUGUGAAAUCUCCGGGCUUAACUCGGAACGGUCAGAUGAUACUGCUUUGCUAGAGUGCAGAAGGGGCAAUCGGAAUUCUUGGUGUAGCGGUGAAAUGCGUAGAUAUCAAGAGGAACACCUGAGGUGAAGACGGGUUGCUGGGCUGACACUGACGCUGAGGCGCGAAAGCCAGGGGAGCAAACGGGAUUAGAUACCCCCGUAGUCCCUGAGCGGGCUGGCAAGGCGCAU
rnacentral:rRNA from 1 species